CCUACGGGUGGCAGCAGUGGGGAAUAUUGGGCAAUGGGCGCAAGCCUGACCCAGCAACGCCGCGUGAAGGAAGAAGGCUUUCGGGUUGUAAACUUCUUUUCUCAGGGACGAAGAAAGUGACGGUACCUGAGGAAUAAGCCACGGCUAACUACGUGCCAGCAGCCGCGGUAAUACGUAGUUGGCAAGCGUUAUCCGGAUUGAUUGGGUGUAAAGGGCGUGUAGGCGGGAGUGCAAGUCAGAUGUGAAAACUAUGGGCUCAACCCAUAGCCUGCAUUUGAAACUGUACUGCUUGAGUGCUGGAGAGGCAAUCAGAAUUACGUGUGUAGCGGUGAAAUGCGUAGAUAUACGGAGGAACACCAGUGGCGAAGGCGGAUUGCUGGACAGUAACUGACGCUGAGGCGCGAAAGCGUGGGGAGCAAACAGGAUUAGAUACCCCUGUAGUC
rnacentral:rRNA from 1 species